AGAGUUUGAUCCUGGCUCAGGACGAACGCUGGCGGCGUGCUUAACACAUGCAAGUCGAACGGAAAGGCCCUUCGGGGUACUCGAGUGGCGAACGGGUGAGUAACACGUGGGUGAUCUGCCCUGCACUUUGGGAUAAGCCUGGGAAACUGGGUCUAAUACCGAAUAGGACCACGCGCUUCAUGGUGUGUGGUGGAAAGCUUUUGCGGUGUGGGAUGGGCCCGCGGCCUAUCAGCUUGUUGGUGGGGUAAUGGCCUACCAAGGCGACGACGGGUAGCCGGCCUGAGAGGGUGACCGGCCACACUGGGACUGAGAUACGGCCCAGACUCCUACGGGAGGCAGCAGUGGGGAAUAUUGCACAAUGGGCGCAAGCCUGAUGCAGCGACGCCGCGUGAGGGAUGACGGCCUUCGGGUUGUAAACCUCUUUCAAUAGGGACGAAGCGUGAGUGACGGUACCUAUAGAAGAAGCACCGGCCAACUACGUGCCAGCAGCCGCGGUAAUACGUAGGGUGCGAGCGUUGUCCGGAAUUACUGGGCGUAAAGAGCUCGUAGGUGGUUUGUCGCGUUGUUCGUGAAAACUCACAGCUUAACUGUGGGCGUGCGGGCGAUACGGGCAGACUAGAGUACUGCAGGGGAGACUGGAAUUCCUGGUGUAGCGGUGGAAUGCGCAGAUAUCAGGAGGAACACCGGUGGCGAAGGCGGGUCUCUGGGCAGUAACUGACGCUGAGGAGCGAAAGCGUGGGGAGCGAACAGGAUUAGAUACCCUGGUAGUCC
rnacentral:rRNA from 1 species